rnacentral:rRNA from 1 species
UGAGUAACCUGCCCUUAACUCUGGGAUAAGCCUGGGAAACUGGGUCUAAUACCGGAUAUGACUCCUCAUCGCAUGGUGGGGGGUGGAAAGCUUUUUGUGGUUUUGGAUGGACUCGCGGCCUAUCAGCUUGUUGGUGAGGUAAUGGCUCACCAAGGCGAUGACGGGUAGCCGGCCUGAGAGGGUGACCGGCCACACUGGGACUGAGACACGGCCCAGACUCCUACGGGAGGCAG